rnacentral:rRNA from 1 species
UACGAAGGGGGCUAGCGUUGUUCGGAAUUACUGGGCGUAAAGCGCACGUAGGCGGAUUGUUUAGUCGGAGGUGAAAGCCCAGGGCUCAACCCUGGAAUGGCCUUCGAUACUGGCAGUCUUGAGAUCGGUAGAGGUGAGUGGAAUUCCUAGUGUAGAGGUGAAAUUCGUAGAUAUUAGGAAGAACACCAGUGGCGAAGGCGGCUCACUGGACCGAUUCUGACGCUGAGGUGCGAAAGCGUGGGGAGCAAACAGG